GAGUUUGAUCCUGGCUCAGCCUGAACGCUGGCGGCGUGGCUAAGACAUGCAAGUCGUACGGGGCCGUAGCAAUACGGUCCAGUGGCGGACGGGUGAGUAAAGAAUCGCUAACGUGCCCCGAUCCCUGGGAUAGCCGGCCGAAAGGCCGGGUAAUACCAGAUGACGUGACCGCGAGGCAUCUCGUGGUCCCCAAAGGGAAACCGGUCCGGGAGCGGGCGAUUUCGUAUCAGCUAGUUGGUGGGGUAACGGCCCACCAAGGCGACGACGCGUAGCUGGUCUGAGAGGACGGCCAGCCACAUUGGGACUGAGACACUGCCCAGACUCCUACGGGGGGCUGCAGUAACGAAUCUUCCGCAAUGCACGCAAGUGUGACGGAGCGACGCCGCGUGGAGGUUAAGUCCUUCGGGAUGUAAACUCCUGUCAGGGGUUACCAAGUUCUGAGGAGCCCCAGAGGAAGGCACGGCUAACUCUGUGCCAGCAGCCGCG
rnacentral:rRNA from 1 species